rnacentral:lncRNA from 11 species
GCCUGAGCUGACAUCAGCAAAAAUGCUCAGUGAUGGCCAGGAGUUUUCUAUGGCUGCUGCCAAAAUGAUAAACAGCAGCCCAGGAUGGGGACUUAUUGGUGAUCCAGUGCCAAAUGGAAUUAGUUCAGCCUUAGCUGUGCAGAAUUGGUCCUGGCUGCUGCUGAAAAAUUGCAGAAGUCAUUUCACUGCUGAAAUAAUCAUGGAAAGUGGUAACUCAACUGUGUUCUUCAAUCUCCCCAAUUAGGGCCAGAACUGCAGCAGUAUUACCUG